rnacentral:tRNA from 3 species
GCAAAAAUAGCUCAAUGGUAGAGUAUAACUCUUGCCAAGGUUAAUGUUGAGGGUUCGAAUCCUCUUUUUUUGCU